UCCUACGGGAGGCAGCAGUGGGGAAUUUUGGACAAUGGGCGAAAGCCUGAUCCAGCCAUGCCGCGUGCAGGAUGAAGGCCUUCGGGUUGUAAACUGCUUUUGUACGGAACGAAAAGACUCUGGUUAAUACCUGGGGUCCAUGACGGUACCGUAAGAAUAAGCACCGGCUAACUACGUGCCAGCAGCCGCGGUAAUACGUAGGGUGCAAGCGUUAAUCGGAAUUACUGGGCGUAAAGCGUGCGCAGGCGGUUAUAUAAGACAGAUGUGAAAUCCCCGGGCUCAACCUGGGAACUGCAUUUGUGACUGUAUAGCUAGAGUACGGCAGAGGGGGAUGGAAUUCCGCGUGUAGCAGUGAAAUGCGUAGAUAUGCGGAGGAACACCGAUGGCGAAGGCAAUCCCCUGGGCCUGUACUGACGCUCAUGCACGAAAGCGUGGGGAGCAAACAGGAUUAGAUACCCUGGUAGUCCACGCCCUAAACGAUGUCAACUGGUUGUUGGGUCUUCACUGACUCAGUAACGAAGCUAACGCGUGAAGUUGACCGCCUGGGGAGUACGGCCGCAAGGUUGAAACUCAAAUGAAUUGACGGA
rnacentral:rRNA from 1 species